AUGGCUUGCGCUGCCGCGCGGUCCCCGGCCAACCAGGACAGGUUUAUUUGUAUCUAUCCUGCUUAUUUAAAUAAUAAGAAGACCAUCGCAGAGGGAAGGCGAAUCCCCAUAAGUAAGGCUGUUGAAAAUCCUACAGCUACAGAGAUUCAAGGUGUAUGUUCAGCAGUUGGACUUAACGUAUUUCUUGAGAAAAAUAAAAUGCACUCUAGAGAAUGGAAUCGUGAUGUCUAAUACAGAGGCAGAGUCCGGGUCCAGCUCAAACAGGAAGAUGGCAGCCUCUGCCUUGUGCAGUUCCCAUCACGUAAGUCAGUAAUGUUGUAUGCAGCAGAAACGAUACCUAAACUAAAAACAAGGACACAAAAAGCAGGAGGUGCUGACCAAAGUCUUCAACAAGGAGAGGGAAGUAAAAAAGGGAAAGGAAAGAAAAAGAAGUAACCUAGUAUCAGCAUCAAGUAUGUGGUACUACUGUAAGAGACAUGAAUGGAGACUUCUAAUUUGUAUCAGAGGGAAACAGAAGCUUUUUGUUUGCAUCAUUUAACUGAACUGCGAACGCUUGUGCCUCUCAUGUUUAUCAUCGGAGUUGAUAGUGAAACAAAUUUACAUCAGAAGUUUGCA